UACGUAGGGAGCAAGCGUUAUCCGGAUUUAUUGGGUGUAAAGGGUGCGUAGACGGGAGAGCAAGUUGGUUGUGAAAUCCCUCAGCUUAACUGAGGAACUGCAACCAAAACUACACUUCUUGAGUGCUGGAGAGGAAAGUGGAAUUCCUAGUGUAGCGGUGAAAUGCGUAGAUAUUAGGAGGAACACCAGUGGCGAAGGCGACUUUCUGGACAGUAACUGACGUUGAGGCACGAAAGUGUGGGGAGCAAACAGG
rnacentral:rRNA from 1 species